UAAUCCGACCUAGGCUCAUCCAUUAGCGCAAGGUCUUACGAUCCCCUGCUUUCCUCCGUAGAGCGUAUGCGGUAUUAGCCCGGCUUUCGCCGGGUUAUCCCCCACAAAUGGGCAGAUUCCUACGUAUUACUCACCCGUCCGCCACUCGUCGCCAGGGUUGCCCCCGCGUUACCGUUCGACUUGCAUGUGUUAGGCCUGCCGCCAGCGUUCAAUCUGAGCCAGGAUCAAACUCU
rnacentral:rRNA from 1 species